rnacentral:rRNA from 1 species
UACGUAGGUGGCAAGCGUUGUCCGGAUUUAUUGGGUUUAAAGGGUGCGUAGGCGGCCUUGUAAGUCAGUGCUGAAAUACCCCGGCUUAACCGGGGGGGUGGCAUUGAUACUGCAGGGCUUGAGUACAGAUGAGGUAGGCGGAAUUGACGGUGUAGCGGUGAAAUGCAUAGAUAUGUCAUAGAACACCGAUUGCGAAGGCAGCUCACAAAACUGUGAUUGACGCUGAUGCACGAAAGCGUGGGGAUCAAACAGG